AUUGAACGCUGGCGGCAUGCCUAACACAUGCAAGUCGAACGGCAGCGCGGGGUUCGGCCUGGCAUCGAGUGGCGAACGGGUGAGUAAUACAUCGGAACGUGCCCAGUCGUGGGGGAUAGCUUGGCGAAAGCGGGAUUAAUACCGCAUACGACCUGAGGGUGAAAGCGGGGGAUCUUCGGACCUCGCGCUAUUGGAGCGGCCGAGGUCGGAUUAGCUAGUUGGUGGGGUAAAGGCCUACCAAGGCGACGAUCCGUAGCUGGUCUGAGAGGAUGACCAGUCACACUGGAACUGAGACACGGCCCAGACUCCUACGGGAGGCAGCAGUGGGGAAUUUUGGACAAUGGGCGAAAGCCUGAUCCAGCAAUGCCGCGUGUGUGAUGAAGGCCUUCGGAUUGUAAAGCACUUUUGGCUGGAACGAAAAGAAGUGUGUCAAUACCUCGCUGCGAUGACGGUACCCGCAGAAUAAGCACCGGCUAACUACGUG
rnacentral:rRNA from 1 species